UUUACCGGUACAGUACCGUUAAGGCUAGUACUGGUAUUACUGGUACUGGUACCGGAACUUGCCCACCAGUAGUCAACGAUGGACUAAAUACUAGUGAAUUGGAGAAUGCGUGAGGUUGUGGACCGAAUGUGGAUUGAUGAAGGUGGAACGCUUGACAUUGUCUGGGACCAUAACAUGCUGGUGGUGGAGUGUAAGCUGUAUGGAAGAGAAGGGGAGAGACGAGGAGCUGGCGGAAUGUUGUUUGAUGAUCUUUAGGACGCAGAGCCAGAGAAGACGUUUGGGUUUGUGAGGGACUGUGCUGAAGCUGUCAUUCCUUCCUACCUUCCCCUGGUCAAGAAUCACAAGAACAAUGCUGUGUCGGAGGCAGAGCGGUGUUGGCGACUGCUGCGUUGAGGGAGGUACGUGGAGUUCAACUUGGUGUACCAGUGAGGCACCAAGUUUGGAUUUGCCAUGCCCAACGCCAAGAUUGAAAAUAUCUUGAUGUCCCCUUCAUGCGAUUGUGUCAAGAUAUGGAGGGAGAGAGAACAGCCAAAGAGGAGGAGGAAGAGGUACAGGAAGAUAAGAAGAAGAAGAUGAAGAAGAAAAAGAAGAAAGAAUGAAUGAAGAGUAAAAAAAGAAAAAGGAAAGUCAAGCCAAGAGUCCCUGAAUGCUGUGAAGGAGACACUGCUGCGGGAACACUGCACCUCCAAGCCAAGCCAAGCCAAGCCAAGCCACAACACAACACAAGCUUUCUACAACACCUACAGCCAUCAGCAACACCCAGAGUACAAGACAACACCUGGAGCCAUGAAGAACAGUUAGGAUAGA